rnacentral:rRNA from 1 species
GGCCUAACACAUGCAAGUCGAACGGUAACAUGAGAGCUUGCUCUUGAUGACGAGUGGCGCACGGGUGCGUAACGCGUAUACAAUCUACCUUUUACUGGGAGAUAGCCUUUAGAAAUGAAGAUUAAUAUCCCAUAGUAUAAUGAUAUGGCAUCAUAUUAUUAUUAAAGUUUCGGCGGUAAAAGAUGAGUAUGCGUUCUAUUAGCUAGAUGGUGUGGUAACGGCACACCAUGGCAACGAUAGAUAGGGGCCCUGAGAGGGGGAUCCCCCACACUGGUACUGAGACACGGACCAGACUCCUACGGGAGGCAGCAGUGAGGAAUAUUGGACAAUGGGCGCAAGCCUGAUCCAGCCAUGCCGCGUGCAGGAAGACGGCCCUAUGGGUUGUAAACUGCUUUUAUACAGGAAGAAACACUCCCUCGUGAGGGAGCUUGACGGUACUGUAAGAAUAAGGACCGGCUAACUCCGUGCCAGCAGCCGCGGUAAUACGGAGGGUCCGAGCGUUAUCCGGAAUCAUUGGGUUUAAAGGGUCCGUAGGUGGAUAAUUAAGUCAGAGGUGAAAUCCUGCAGCUCAACUGUAGAAUUGCCUUUGAAACUGGUUAUCUUGAGUUAUUAUGAAGUAGUUAGAAUAUGUAGUGUAGCGGUGAAAUGCAUAGAUAUUACAUAGAAUACCAAUUGCGAAGGCAGAUUACUAAUAAUCAACUGACACUGAUGGACGAAAGCGUGGGGAGCGAACAGGAUUAGAUACCCUGGUAGUCCACGCCGUAAACGAUGGUUACUAGCUGUUCGGACUUCGGUCUGAGUGGCUAAGCGAAAGUGAUAAGUAACCC